GGAGCUGAAGCCAGUCGCAGAUACCAGCUGGCUGCAACUGUUUAUUAAAAACACAGCACUGUGCAAACACGAAAGUGGACGUAUACGGUGUGACGCCUGCCCGGUGCUGGAAGGUUAAUUGAUGGGGUUAUCCGUAAGGAGAAGCUCUUGAUCGAAGCCCCAGUAAACGGCGGCCGUAACUAUAACGGUCCUAAGGUAGCGAAAUUCCUUGUCGGGUAAGUUCCGACCUGCACGAAUGGCGUAAUGAUGGCCAGGCUGUCUCCACCCGAGACUCAGUGAAAUUGAACUCGCUGUGAAGAUGCAGUGUACCCGCGGCAAGACGGAAAGACCCCGUGAACCUUUACUAUAGCUUGACACUGAACAUUGAGCCUUGAUGUGUAGGAUAGGUGGGAGGCUUUGAAGUGUGGACGCCAGUCUGCAUGGAGCCAACCUUGAAAUACCACCCUUUAAUGUUUGAUGUUCUAACGUUGCCCCAUAAUCUGGGGUGCGGACAGUGUCUGGUGGGUAGUUUGACUGGGGCGGUCUCCUCCCAAAGCGUAACGGAGGAGCACGAAGGUUGGCUAAGCAUGGUCGGACAUCAUGCGGUUAGUGCAAAGGCAUAAGCCAGCUUGACUGCGAGAGUGACGGCUCGAGCAGGUACGAAAGUAGGUCUUAGUGAUCCGGUGGUUCUGAAUGGAAGGGCCAUCGCUCAACGGAUAAAAGGUACUCCGGGGAUAACAGGCUGAUACCGCCCAAGAGUUCAUAUCGACGGCGGUGUUUGGCACCUCGAUGUCGGCUCAUCACAUCCUGGGGCUGAAGUAGGUCCCAAGGGUAUGGCUGUUCGCCAUUUAAAGUGGUACGCGAGCUGGGUUUAGAACGUCGUGAGACAGUUCGGUCCCUAUCUGCCGUGGGCGUUGGAAGAUUGAAAGGGGCUGCUCCUAGUACGAGAGGACCGGAGUGGACGCACCGCUGGUGUUCGGGUUGUCAUGCCAAUGGCACUGCCCGGUAGCUAAGUGCGGAAGAGAUAACCGCUGAAAGCAUCUAAGCGGGAAACUUGCCUUGAGAUGAGUCUUCCCUGACUCUUUAAGGGUCCUAAAGGAACGUUUAAGACGAAGACGUUGAUAGGCUGGGUGUGUAAGCGUAGCGAUACGUUGAGCUAACCAGUACUAAUGAACCGUGAGGCUUAACCUG
rnacentral:rRNA from 1 species